rnacentral:rRNA from 1 species
CCUACGGGUGGCAGCAGUGGGGAAUAUUGGACAAUGGGCGAAAGCCUGAUCCAGCCAUGCCGCGUGUGUGAAGAAGGCCUUCGGGUUGUAAAGCACUUUCAGUGGGGAAGAAAGCCUUGGGGCUAAUACCCUCGAGGAAGGACAUCACCCACAGAAGAAGCACCGGCUAACUCCGUGCCAGCAGCCGCGGUAAUACGGAGGGUGCGAGCGUUAAUCGGAAUUACUGGGCGUAAAGCGCGCGUAGGCGGUCUGAUAAGCCGGUUGUGAAAGCCCCGGGCUCAACCUGGGAACGGCAUCCGGAACUGUCAGGCUAGAGGGCAGGAGAGGAAGGUAGAAUUCCCGGUGGAGCGGUGAAAUGCGUAGAGAUCGGGAGGAAUACCAGUGGCGAAGGCGGCCUUCUGGACUGACACUGACGCUGAGGUGCGAAAGCGUGGGUAGCAAACAGGAUUAGAUACCCCUGUAGUC